rnacentral:rRNA from 1 species
AUGGGGGCACGCCGGCGCCUGGCGCUCCUCGCGCUCGCCGUGGCCCUCGCCGCGGCGGCGGCCACCACGGGCCACGCCGGCGUGACCAGCCCGUACCGGCGCAAGCUGGAGGCCACCGCCGACAUGCCGUUCGACGCCGACGUCUUCCGCGUGCCGCCGGGCUACAAUGCCCCUCAGCAGGUGCACAUCACGCUGGGCGACCAGACGGGCACGGCGAUGACGGUGUCGUGGGUGACGGCGAGCGAGCUGGGCAACGGCACGGUGAGGUACGGCCCCUCGCCGGACAAGAUGGAGAUGUCGGCGCAGGGUACGCACACGCGCUACGACUACUUCAACUACACCUCCGGCUUCAUCCACCACUGCACCCUCAGGAACCUCAAGCAUGGCGUGAAGUACUACUACGCGAUGGGGUUCGGCCACACGGUGCGCACCUUCUCCUUCACCGCCCCUCCCAAGCCCGGGCCCGACGUGCCCUUCAAGUUCGGACUCAUCGGUGACCUGGGGCAGACGUUCGACUCCAACAGCACGCUGUCGCACUACGAGGCCAACGGCGGCGACGCGGUGCUCUUCGUGGGCGACCUCUCCUACGCCGACGCCUACCCGCUGCACGACAACCGGCGCUGGGACAGCUGGGCGCGCUUCGUGGAGCGCAGCGUGGCGUACCAGCCCUGGAUCUGGACCGCCGGCAACCACGAGCUGGACUACGCGCCGGAGAUCGGCGAGACGGUGCCCUUCAAGCCCUUCACCCGCCGCUACCGCACGCCGUACCGCGCCGCCGGCAGCACGGAGCCCCUCUGGUACUCGGUCAAGGUCGCCUCCGCCCACAUCAUCGUGCUCUCCUCCUACUCCUCCUACGGCAAGUACACGCCGCAGUGGACGUGGCUGUCCGACGAGCUGGCCCGCGUCGACCGCAAGGCCACGCCGUGGCUCAUCGUGCUCAUGCACUCGCCCUGGUACAACAGCAACAACUACCACUACAUGGAGGGGGAGACGAUGCGGGUGCAGUUCGAGAGCUGGCUCGUCGCCGCCAAGGUGGACAUCGUCCUCGCCGGCCACGUCCACUCCUACGAGCGCAGCCGCCGCUUCUCCAACGUCGCCUACAACAUCGUCAACGGCAAGGCCACGCCCGUGCGCGACUUGGACGCGCCCGUCUACGUCACCAUCGGCGACGGCGGCAACAUCGAGGGCAUCGCCAACAACUUCACGGAGCCGCAGCCGUCCUACUCUGCGUUCAGGGAGGCGAGCUUCGGGCACGCGACGCUGGAGAUCAAGAACCGGACGCACGCCUACUACGCGUGGCACCGGAACCACGACGGCGCCAAGGCCACUGCCGACUCCGUCUGGCUCACCAACAGACACCAUCUCCCCACCGACGACUCCAAGUGA